GUAGCUCAGUGGUAGAGCACCUGCUUGGCUUGCAGAAAGACCCAGGUUCAAUCCCUGUUGCCU
rnacentral:tRNA from 1 species